AGCGACAGGCUUAACACAUGCAAGUCGAGGGGCAGCAUAAAAGUGCAAUACUUUGGUGCGACCGGCGCACGGGUGAGUAACGCGUANGCAACCUACCUAUCAGGAGGGGGAUAACCCGGCGAAAAGUCGGACUAAUACCGCAUAAAACAGGGGGCACGCAUGGUGAUAUUUGUUAAAAAUUAUUGCUGAUAGAUGGGCAUGCGUUCCAUUAGGGUAGUUGGAGAAGUAACGGCUCACCAAGCCCACGAUGGAUAGGGGAACUGAGAGGUUGGUCCCCCACACUGGUACUGAGACACGGACCAGACUCCUACGGGAGGCAGCAGUGAGGAAUAUUGGUCAAUGGGCGAGAGCCUGAACCAGCCAAGUCGCGUGAAGGAAGAAGGAUCUAUGGUUCGUAAACUUCUUUUGCAGGGGAAUAAAGUGCAGGACGUGUCCUGUUUUGUAUGUACCCUGAGAAUAAGGAUCGGCUAACUCCGUG
rnacentral:rRNA from 1 species